rnacentral:rRNA from 1 species
AGGUGCUGCACGGCUGUCGUCAGCUCGUGUCGUGAGAUGUUGGGUUAAGUCCCGCAACGAGCGCAACCCUCGUGUUUAGUUACUAACAGUUCGGCUGAGGACUCUAGACAGACUGCCUGGGUAACCAGGAGGAAGGUGAGGACGACGUCAAGUCAUCAUGGCCCUUACGGCCAGGGCUACACACGUGCUACAAUGGGGUAUACAAAGAGCUGCAAUACGGUGACGUGGAGCAAAUCUCAUAAAAUAUCUCCCAGUUCGGAUUGAAGUCUGCAACUCGACUUCAUGAAGUUGGAAUCGCUAGUAAUCGUAGAUCAGCAAUGCUACGGUGAAUACGUUCCCGGGUCUUGUACUCACCGCCCGUCACACCAUGGGAAUUGAAUUCAUUCGAAGCGGGGAUGCUAAAAUAGCUACCUUCCACAGUGGAUUUAGUAACUAGGGUGAAGUCCUAACAAGGUA